rnacentral:ncRNA from 2 species
AAAAUAAAUAUAUCAAUGGAUUAUAUAUGUUCAUAAUCAGGUUGAGCGUUUCUACCGGCUGCCGUAAACAGCCGACUAUAAUUCCCGAAGGCGGGAGA